CUGGCGGCAUGCUUUACACAUGCAAGUCGAACGGCAGCGCGGGGCAACCCUGGCGGCGAGUGGCGAACGGGUGAGUAAUACAUCGGAACGUACCCAGAAGUGGGGAUAACGUAGCGAAAGUUACGCUAAUACCGCAUACGUUCUACGGAGAAGUGGGGAUCGCAAGACCUCAUGCUUUUGGAGCGGCCGAUGUCUGAUUAGCUAGUUGGUGAGGUAAGGCUCACCAAGGCGACGAUCAGUAGCUGGUCUGAGAGGACGACCAGGCCACACUGGAACUGAGACACGGUCCAGACUUCUACGGGAGGCAGCAGUGGGGAAUAUUGGGCAAUGGAGGCAACUCUGACCCAGCCACGCCGCGUGGAGGAUGAAGGUGCUAUGCAUCGUAAACUUCUUUUGUCAAGGGGAAAGUGCUUGUUUAUCGAGUUUUGACGGUACUUGGCGAUAAGCAUCGGCUACUACGUGCCAGC
rnacentral:rRNA from 1 species